rnacentral:RNase_P_RNA from 1 species
GAAGCUGACCAGACAGUCGCCGCUUCGUCGUCGUCCUCCUUCGGGGGGAGACGGGCGGAGGGGAGGAAAGUCCGGGCUCCAUAGGGCAAGGUGCCAGGUAACGCCUGGGGGGUGUCACAGCCCACGACCAGUGCAACAGAGAGCAAACCGCCGAUGGCCCGCGCAAGCGGGAUCAGGUAAGGGUGAAAGGGUGCGGUAAGAGCGCACCGCGCGGCUGGUAACAGUCCGCGGCACGGUAAACUCCACCCGGAGCAAGGCCAAAUAGGGGUUCAUAAGGUACGGCCCGUACUGAACCCGGGUAGGCUGCUUGAGCUAGUGAGCGAUUGCUGGCCUAGAUGAAUGACUGUCCACGACAGAACCCGGCUUAUCGGUCAGUUUCACCU